GAUGAACGCUGGCGGCGUGCCUAAUACAUGCAAGUCGAGCGAACGGACGAGAAGCUUGCUUCUCUGAUGUUAGCGGCGGACGGGUGAGUAACACGUGGAUAACCUACCUAUAAGACUGGGAUAACUUCGGGAAACCGGAGCUAAUACCGGAUAAUAUUUUGAACCGCAUGGUUCAAAAGUGAAAGACGGUCUUGCUGUCACUUAUAGAUGGAUCCGCGCUGCAUUAGCUAGUUGGUAAGGUAACGGCUUACCAAGGCAACGAUGCAUAGCCGACCUGAGAGGGUGAUCGGCCACACUGGAACUGAGACACGGUCCAGACUCCUACGGGAGGCAGCAGUAGGGAAUCUUCCGCAAUGGGCGAAAGCCUGACGGAGCAACGCCGCGUGAGUGAUGAAGGUCUUCGGAUCGUAAAACUCUGUUAUUAGGGAAGAAAAUAUGUGUAAGUAACUGUGCACCUCUUGACGGUACCUAAUCAGAAAGCCCCGGCUAACUACGUG
rnacentral:rRNA from 1 species